rnacentral:rRNA from 1 species
AACGUAGGGGGCGAGCGUUAUCCGGAAUUACUGGGCGUAAAGGGCGUCUAGGCGGCAGCCUAUGUCCCGCGUGAAAGCUCCCGGCUCAACUGGGAGAGUGCGUGGGAAACUGGGCAGCUAGAGACUCGGAGAGGGGUGUGGAAUUCCCGGUGGAGUGGUGAAAUGCGUUGAGAUCGGGAGGAACACCAGUGGCGAAGGCGGCACCCUGGCCGAGGUCUGACGCUGAAGCGCGACAGCGUGGGGAGCGAACGGG